GGCCGAGUAGCAAAGUGGUUACUGCGACGGCUUUAGGAUUUUAUCACGCCGUUAUUCGUGGGUUCGAACCCCACCUUGGUCA
rnacentral:tRNA from 1 species